AGGACGAACGCUGGCGGCGUGCUUAACACAUGCAAGUCGAGCGGAAAGGCCCUUCGGGGUACUCGAGCGGCGAACGGGUGAGUAACACGUGAGCAAUCUGCCCUUAGCUUCGGGAUAGCCCCGGGAAACCGGGAUUAAUACCGAAUAUGACCUCGGCCGACAUCGGCUUUGGUGGAAAGUUUUUCGGCUAGGGAUGAACUCGCGGCCUAUCAGCUUGUUGGUGGGGUAAUGGCCUACCAAGGCGACGACGGGUAGCCGGCCUGAGAGGGCGACCGGCCACACUGGGACUGAGACACGGCCCAGACUCCUACGGGAGGCAGCAGUGGGGAAUAUUGCGCAAUGGGCGAAAGCCUGACGCAGCGACGCCGCGUGGGGGAUGAAGGCCUUCGGGUUGUAAACCCCUUUCAGCAGGGACGAAGCGAAAGUGACGGUACCUGCAGAAGAAGCGCCGGCUAACUACGUGCCAGCAGCCGC
rnacentral:rRNA from 1 species